rnacentral:rRNA from 1 species
AGAGUUUGAUCAUGGCUCAGGAUGAACGCUAGCUACAGGCUUAANACAUGCAAGUCGAGGGGAAACGACAUCGAAGCUUGCUUUUGAUGGGCGUCGACCGGCGCACGGGUGAGUAACGCGUAUCCAACCUGCCCACCACUUGGGGAUAACCUUGCGAAAGUAAGACUAAUACCCAAUGAUAUCUCUAGAAGACAUCUGAAAGAGAUUAAAGAUUUAUCGGUGAUGGAUGGGGAUGCGUCUGAUUAGCUUGUUGGCGGGGUAACGGCCCACCAAGGCAACGAUCAGUAGGGGUUCUGAGAGGAAGGUCCCCCACAUUGGAACUGAGACACGGUCCAAACUCCUACGGGAGGGAGCA